GACAGAGGGUGCAAACGUUGUUCGGAAUUACUGGGCGUAAAGCGCGUGUAGGCGGCCAUCUAAGUCGGGCGUGAAAUCCCACGGCUCAACCGUGGAAGUGCACUCGAAACUGGAUGGCUAGAGUCCUGGAGAGGAAGGUGGAAUGCUUGGUGUAGAGGUGAAAUUCGUAGAUAUCAAGCGGAACACCGGUGGCGAAGGCGGCCUUCUGGACAGUGACUGACGCUGAGACGCGAAAGCGGUGGGGAGCAAACAGGG
rnacentral:rRNA from 1 species